UAACAGGAAGGUAGUUUAUAAGAACCUAUUGUGGACUGUGGUUAGUAGAGAAAUGGAGGAUGUUGUGGAGCAACAGAAUCCAUCACUAGGUGAAGAAGGAGAGAGUGAUAUAGUAACUGAACAGGCUACCUUUGUCCAUGGAGCACCUCAUCAAGAUGAUAAUGGCCCCCCUAAAGUAGAUGCUGAAGUUGAGCUUCUUCAUGAGAAAGUUACCAAGCAAAUAAUCAAAGAAGGUCACGGUGAAAAACCAUCCAAAUAUUCCACAUGCUUUGGUUGAGUAUGAUGAUGGAGAUGAGGAGGUUUUAAAUCUGAGAACUGAACAAUGGGAAAUCCUAGGCGAUGAAAUUCCAACUGAUAUCGACAUAUUCGUUGAUAAGAAAUCUCCUCAACCACGCUCAACUACGCCAAAACGAGAAGGGUCAACAGUGUGUGAGAAGGAAACCUCUCAGACCAACACUAGGAAUAGGGAGAUAAUGCCCGAGCCUGAGGCUGAAGUUGAUGAUGGAAGCCAUCAAGUUGCCGAGGUUGUGGAGAAAGUGAAGACACCGGAGGGUUUGAGUGAGAUGAAAAGACCAAGAUUAUCGGAUGGACAGAAGUCAUGACUAAAUUUUUGUUGUUCAAAUCUUCUUCCUGCUGUGAAUUAGUGGAGGAAUUUAAGGUAGAUUCAAAAGAAAACAAUUUUGUACCAGAUUGCUAAUGUAAUAUAUAUGGUGUAAUGAUUUUGUAAGCUAGAGAAUGUUCCAGGGGUUUAGUUAGGAUUAGAUGGAUUUACCCGAGUAUGUUCAGGUUUUGAUGGGGCAUCUUCUUGCAAAAGGGCAACUGUAAUUAAUUUAUCAGCCCAAAGGCUCAAUUUUGUACACAUCAAACUAGAUACUUAAAAUAUCUCGUUAUUUUCAGUAUUGA